GCUCUGUUAGUCUAGAGGCCAAGGACACUGCCCUUUCACGGCGGUAACCCGGGUUCGAAUCCCGGACAGAGCG
rnacentral:tRNA from 1 species